UCCGUAGGUGAACCUGCGGAGGGAUCAUUACCGAGUUUACAACUCCCAAACCCCUGUGAACAUACCAAUUGUUGCCUCGGCGGAUCAGCCCGCUCCCGGUAAAACGGGACGGCCCGCCAGAGGACCCCUAAACUCUGUUUCUAUAUGUAACUUCUGAGUAAAACCAUAAAUAAAUCAAAACUUUCAACAACGGAUCUCUUGGUUCUGGCAUCGAUGAAGAACGCAGCAAAAUGCGAUAAGUAAUGUGAAUUGCAGAAUUCAGUGAAUCAUCGAAUCUUUGAACGCACAUUGCGCCCGCCAGUAUUCUGGCGGGCAUGCCUGUUCGAGCGUCAUUUCAACCCUCAAGCCCAGCUUGGUGUUGGGACUCGCGAGUUAAAUCGCGUUCCCCAAAUUGAUUGGCGGUCACGUCGAGCUUCCAUAGCGUAGUAGUAAAACCCUCGUUACUGGUAAUCGUCGCGGCCACGCCGUUAAACCCCAACUUCUGAAUGUUGACCUCGGAUCAGGUAGGAAUACCCGCUGAACUUAAGCAUAUCAAUAACGGGAGGA
rnacentral:rRNA from 1 species